rnacentral:rRNA from 1 species
UACGAAUGGAGCGAGCGUUGUUCGGAAUCACUGGGCGUAAAGGGUGCGCAGGCGGUCAUGAAAGUUAGAAGUGAAAUCCCUGGGCUUAACCCAGGAAUUGCUUUUAAAACUCCAUGACUAGAGUACUGGAGAGGUUGGCGGAAUUCCAAGUGUAGCAGUGAAAUGCGUAGAUAUUUGGAGGAACACCAAUGGCGUAGGCAGCCAACUGGACAGUAACUGACGCUCAUGCACGAAAGCGUGGGGAUCAAACAGG